rnacentral:rRNA from 1 species
UCCGUAGGCGGCCUGUUAGGUGAGGUGUGAAAUCCCCCGGCUCAACCGAGGAAUUGCGCUUCAAACCGGCAGGCUUGAGGAGGAUAGAGGUGGGCGGAACUGAUGGUGGAGCGGUGAAAUGCGUUGAUAUCAUCAGGAACACCGGAGGCGAAAGCGGUCCACUGGGUCCUUUCUGACGCUGAGGGACGAAAGCUAGGGGAGCGAACG